AUUGAACGCUGGCGGGAGGCCUAACACAUGCAAGUCGAACGAGUGGCGGACGGGUGAGUAAUGUCUGGGAAACUGCCCGAUGGAGGGGGAUAACUACUGGAAACGGUAGCUAAUACCGCAUACCAUCGGAUGUGCCCAGAUGGGAUUAGCUAGUAGGUGGGGUAACGGCUCACCUAGGCGACGAUCCCUAGCUGGUCUGAGAGGAUGACCAGCCACACUGGAACUGAGACACGGCCCAGACUCCUACGGGAGGCAGCAGUGGGGAAUAUUGCACAAUGGGCGCAAGCCUGAUGCAGCCAUGCCGCGUGUAUGAAGAAGGCCUUCGGGUUGUAAAGUACUUUCAGCGGGGAGGCGUUACUCGCAGAAGAAGCACCGGCUAACUCCGUGCCAGCAGCCGCGGUAAUUC
rnacentral:rRNA from 1 species